GGCCGGGGGUGCCUUGACGAGGGGUGUCAAGCUCUUUAGACUCAUGCACCCCUUAAUCUCGCGGGGCGUUUCGCCUCGCGAAAUUUUUGUGUCGCAAGACAAUCAGUGGAGCUAGUAGA
rnacentral:sRNA from 1 species